GUUGCAACACCGGUUCCCGUACGAUCACUGAAGUUAAGCAACGUCGAACCAGAUCAGUACUAAGACAGGUGACCGCUUGAGAAUACCAGGUAUUGUAAG